rnacentral:rRNA from 1 species
AGCGAACGCUGGCGGCAGGCUUAACACAUGCAAGUCGAGCGGGCAUCUUCGGAUUUCAGCGGCAGACGGGUGAGUAACACGGGGGAACGUACCCUUCGGUUCGGAACAACUCUGGGAAACUUGAGCUAAUACCGGAUACGCCCGUAUGGGGAAAGGUUUACUGCCCAAGGAUCGGCCCGCGUCUGAUGAGCUAGUUGGUGGGGUAACGGCCUACCAAGGCGACGAUCAGUAGCUGGUCGGAGAGGAUGAUCAGCCACACUGGGACUGAGACACGGCCCAGACUCCUACGGGAGGGAGCAGUGGGGAAUAUUGGACAAUGGGCGCAAGCCUGAUCCAGCCAUGACGGGUGAGUGAUGAAGGCCUUAGGGUUGUAAAGCUCUUUUGUCCGGGACGAUAAUGACGGUACCGGAAGAAUAAGCACCGGCUAACUUCGUG